UGGACCCUAUAAAAACAUCGUUAUAAAUGUAACAUCUCAUCACAAAGGAGCCUACGGCCACGUCUCAAUGAUCACGAUGGAUCAAUUAUAUGGAUACUAUAUAUUUUUUUGCGUCGAUUAAUGCGUGUCGAAUGUGCGCUGAUCUAUUGUCACCGCGAUCCGGGUCCGAUAUGGAGAUGAUGGUACUGAUGCUUCGAAGCGCUUAUCACGUUUGAUAUAAAGCGUAUUAUCGCUCGUUUGUUUGUAUGGUUUGGUUAUAGCUUAAUGUGACAUUGUGUGCGUUUAAGUCCGGUACCAUUGAACGGAGGACGCGGGCAUUAGUGGUCCGCGCACGAAGGGACCCCGGCCGCGUAUAUAAGGAUACGGCGGGAGGAUCUGACACAUAUCAAGCAGCAAUCCCGUCUAGUGCUGACUAGAGCAGGCUUUGGUGGCUUUUUUUAAACCACACGAAACAACGAUGAUGAAAUUGAUGGCAUUGGUUGUGUGCCUUCUGGCGGCGCUGGCGCUGAGCCCUGCAGAGGCAAAGCCCCAGGUGCUGGUCGACUACGGGUACUCCGGCUACUACGCACCCGCCUACGUCUCCCCCUACAGCGCUGUCGCCUACUCCUACCCUUACGCCUACACCUACUCUUACCCCUACGCGUACUACUAGACCGAGUAAUUUGAGUGGACUUCGUCGGACAAAGGGGUUGUGAGUUAUCGUUAUUUUACUAUUCGAAUACAAUUAAAAAUAAAUCGUACGAUAGCUACCAAAACAUCCGUAGUGAAGUAGGCAUAAUCGACAGUUAACAGGCUCGACAGUUUAUCCAGUUAGGGCUUGAGCACAAAUCACGCGAGGUUCGAUAGGGGGAGGGGGGUCACGAUAGAUCACGUUGGGGGAGGGAGGGUAUAAGGAAACCUCACGUGUAGUUUUCUACAGUGAACGAAACUAAGAAAAAAAAACCUUAAUGAGUAGAUACUUUUUCUCGGUUUCGUUAAACAUAAAUGUUCGCUCUGCUCUUCAAAAUAGCGAGUCUAUUUAACGAAAAUAGAAAAAUAAACAAGAUUUUCUUUAAACAAUACUAUUUAACUUAAAAUGAUAUCGAAUGAAAAAAUAAAAAUAAAAUACACGUGAUGUUGUGUGGGGGGAGGGGGGUAGCCAAAAACCUCACCAAAUAUCACCAAGGGGGAGGGGGGCUCAAAAAGUAGCCAAAAACACCUCGCGUGAUUUGUGCACAACCCCUUACGCAUAAACAAAUUUGUGUUACGAAGACACUGUAUAUCCAACUAACCUGUGAUGUACUUACUUACCUAAUAAUUUUAUUUUAAAUGUAUAAUUAAUGUACCUAUACCUAUUUUUUUUUUUUUCGGUCUAGGCCUCACAACCGAUGUACAAUUUUGUUAGCAUCAGCCCUAGGUCACAAUUUAAGAGUUCUUAGUGGUUGUAUUUUUUACAAAACAGUAUUUUACUUUCAAUUGCGAAUUGUUGUUACCUACCAAGAUAUUGAGUCUAGUUCUUAAUGAAACAUCGGCCUUGACUGAUUAAUUAUUUCUCUGUAAUGGGUUAAAUGAUUGCUAAUAAAUUGUUAUCAAAUUAUUA